GAUGAACGCUAGCUACAGGCUUAACACAUGCAAGUCGAGGGGAAACGGCAUCGAAAGCUUGCUUUUGAUGGGCGUCGACCGGCGCACGGGUGAGUAACGCGUAUCCAACCUGCCCAUCACUUGGGAAUAACCUUGCGAAAGUAAGACUAAUGCCCAAUGACAUCCCACGAAGGCAUCCGAAUGGGAUUAAAGAUUUAUCGGUGAUGGAUGGGGAUGCGUCUGAUUAGCUUGUUGGCGGGGUGACGGCCCACCAAGGCAACGAUCAGUAGGGGUCCUGAGAGGAAGGUCCCCCACAUUGGAACUGAGACACGGUCCAAACUCCUACGGGAGGCAGCAGUGAGGAAUAUUGGUCAAUGGGCGAGAGCCUGAACCAGCCAAGUAGCGUGCAGGAUGACGGCCCUAUGGGUUGUAAACUGCUUUUAUAAGGGAAUAAAGUGGGUCACGUGUGACUUUUUGCAUGUACCUUAUGAAUAAGGACCGGCUAAUUCCGUG
rnacentral:rRNA from 1 species